AAAAAUGACAUUUGUAUAAUCUCGAAGAUGAAGGAUGUGUUGUUCUUGGAGUCGCAACUACGCCUCGUGUAGCUCUGAGAACACGGAUGAUAAGAAGGAUGAAGGGUAUCACAUUUCCUGAUCUAAACUUGCAGUGCCAGUAAGCUAACGAAGACGACCUUCAAUCAAAAAGUGUCAAAAAAGAAAAUGUUCUUAGAAUUGAUUUUUACAUAAGAAUUGACUAUCACUGUAGUUUUGUGAGGACAUUUUUUAAUUCACUUCUCCCUACUGACUAUUGCUACAUUAGACAAUUUUUAAACCUUUUCAAAAUAGCAUUGUCACAAUGAUUGAUAUCAAAAAAGUAAUGCAUCUGACUAUAGCUUUUAAAAAUAGUUCUGAUUCUAAAAGGUACAGAUAUUUUUCAAUUUUUACUUUUAAUCGUAAUAUAACUCUCUUGAAUUUAAAUAUGGGUUGUCAUAUAAUUCUAGCCCUAUCUAGUGUAAUUCAUCUAAAACAUAUUUAAAACAGCGUACUACUACUCCUUCUACCCCAACAACGAUUCCUAAUAUAGAACAAGCUGUGACAUCUGCACCUGAUCCUUCUGGUCCAGUACCAACUUCCAAAGAAGCACCUUCUAAUUAGGAUACAAUUAAAGAUGCAUCUGCUGAAUCAGAGAUACCUGGAAGUGUUUCUAGAUUUGAAAUGAGUUUAGCUCCUUAAGCCAAUGUUGAGAAGCAAAAUCCACGGGUUCCUGUGUCACCUGCAGCACCAGCUCCUGCAGCACCUUCUACUAUAGCGGCAAACCCUGUAAAAGAACCUGUAAAGAAAAAGGCAAUCAGUGAGGAUAUGCUCAGUAUAUGUUCAGCAACUACAACUGGUAUAAAUCUAUAUUUACAAGUUUAAAAAUGCAACUAAUAUCUAGUAGAUUAAACAUUCACAAAAUUUAUCCUUUCUUCAUAAAGUUACUGACCUGUUAAUCAGCUUAAAACCUCCACCGCCAACUGAAAAGUUACCUAAGGCUCCUUAUCCAGCUUCAGUAUCUAAGGCUUCUUUUCCAGCCCCAGUAUCUAAGGCUCCUCCUCCAGCUCCAGUUUCAGCUUCGGUUUCUAAGGCUACUCCUCAUGGUUCCAGUUUCCAAUUGUCUGGCACUGGCGGCUCAAGAAUCAACCACUCCCGCAUCGGUUUGAUUAUUAACCACUAUUGCACUGGCUCCGGUCACCUUUGCCCUUGCAUCCGUUACUAAUCCUUCAGCUCAAGUAUCUAAACCACCUGCACCGGCUCCAGUAUCUAAACCCCCUGCACGGCCUCCAGUAUCUAAACCCCCUGCACCGCCUCCAGUAUCUAAACCACCUGCACCAGUUCCAGUAUCUAAACCACCUGCACCACCUCCAGUAUCUAAACCCCCUGCACCAGUUCCAGUAUCAAAUUCCCCUGCUCUGGCUCCAAGAUCCUCUAUAAGUAGAUUCGCUGAUUUUAACGAAGAAGCUACAGAGAUCUAGAGAGAGUUAGCUAGAUUUGACCGAGCUGAUAUGAUUAGUAUGUGUUCAGCAACAACAAAUAUGUAAAAUUCAAGUAUCAUUACUUAGGUAAUAUUUUCCGAUAAUCUUUACUCUAAACCCUAUCAAAUAAUAAGUAUAAUAAAUAUAUAUAUUGAA